rnacentral:rRNA from 1 species
CCUACGGGACGCAGAAGUGAGGAAUAUUGGGCAAUGGACGCAAGUCUGAACCAGCCAUGCCGCGUGCAGGAAGACGGCUCUAUGAGUUGUAAACUGCUUUUGUACGAGGGUAAACGCAGAUACGCGUAUCUGUCUGAAAGUAUCGUACGAAUAAGGAUCGGCUAACUCCGUGCCAGCAGCCGCGUGAAUACGGAGGAUUCCAGCUUUAUCCGGAUUUAUUUGGUUUAAAGGGUGCGUAGGCGGUCGGAUAAGUUAGCGGUGAAAUCCCGAGGCUCAACUUCGGAAUUGCCUCUGUUACUGUUCGGCUAGAGAGUAGUUGCGGUAGGCGGAAUGUAUGGUGUAGCGGUGAAAUGCUUAGAGAUCAUACAGAACACCGAUUGCGAAGGCAGCUUACCAAGCUACGUCUGACGUUGAGGCACGAAAGCGUGGGGAGCAAACAGGAUUAGAUACCCCGGUAGUC